UCUCUCUCUCGAACUCUCUCUCUCCUACAUAUUCUUUUUAUUUUUAUUUUAUCCCUAUAAUAAAUAAUAAAGUCAUGCCUCGUUCUAAGUAUUGUAACUCCCGAUCGCCGCUACCCUUUCCGAUUGAUCUGAGUCUCAUAACUUAUGUCAGGGCUCUGCCCGACUAAGUUGUUGGGAUUCGGUCUCGGGACUUCGGGACAAGGUUGAAUUAGGGGUACUAUACUUACCACGAGUGCAAUAUAUAUUUUUAUAGCCCAAAAGUUAUACCAAAAGAUUUUCUAGUUGAACCCUAAAGUUACAAAGUCGGUCCAUUUUCUUUUCUCACCGUUUUAUUUCCUUUUGUAAUUUACCCCAAAACUAUUAUUUAUUAUAUAUUACUCUAUUUUAUAACAAACUCUCAAUCAAAAGUCAUAUCUAUUAUUUUAUUUACCCAAUAAGAAACUCUAGUUGAGACACCCAAGUAAUUCUGCACAAAUCCUAAAAUUUUCAUAACAAUCGGAAUCAGGAUUAGGGCCCCUAAAACUCAGAGGGGGCAAUUCCCAUUCGAUAUUAUCUUCAAAACUCGUUGUCAAAAUUUAAAUUUUCGAAUUCAUCAACUCAGCAGGUCUAGUCCCACACGUGGCAACCCUAUGACCAUUAGGUGUCCCUUACGGACCGUAAGGGAAUAGUCUUACGGUCCGUAAUCAUGCCCAAAUUUCGUGUAUAAAUAGCAGACAUUGGCACUUGUUUUCUGGCUCUGAAAUAACGAACAAAGUCGUUAUACACACUGAGAUAAGCUCUAUUUACCACAAUUAACACACACGGAUCACUAAUUGCUGCCGCAGUCAAGGUAAUAACUCGAUCGCUAUUACCAUUCAACGUCCGAUCGAUUGUAACUAUCCAACGAUUGUUUGAGUGCUGCUCAAAUUGAGUUUAUACUUUGUUAUUCAUCGUGAUUUCGACUUGAAUGUUUGAGUGCUGUCCGAACUCGGACUAUACUCUGUCAUUCGUUAUGAAUCCGCUGAAUAGUUAAGUAUUGCACUUUGUUAAUCGUUGUGAGGGUUUAAUCUCGUGAAUUUUCGUAACUGCUGUAUUAGUUAUUUACCUAGUUUCGUGUGCAUCAUUUCUUAAAUUAGAUUAUUAGUUUUACCAGUAGACUAAACUUUACCCCAUUCACUUACAAUCAAAGUAGAUGCUAAUUUCCAGAAGAAAUUGAAUCAGGAAGCUUGUUAAAUACUGCAUGCUUAUAAUGUGAGUCAUUCUCUUUUUAUCAACUGUUUUACAGUACCUCAAACUAUUUUCAAAAGUUAUAAUUACAGGGAUUAAGUCGUGGCUAUUUUAAUCAAUGGCUAGUGGGGUAUUGUACACAUUACUAAAUUUUGCUCACAGGGUUAGGCUAAUAAGCCCUAACAUAGGUUAGGCAUAUAAGCCCUAACAGUGAUAAUCAUCACUAAUUGGGUGACAGGACCCAACAGUGGUAUGACCACCGUCACCAGGAGGUGACACGGUGCCAUAUAACAAUAAGAUAGGAACCAUUGUAAUCGCUCUUAUGCUGUAAUUACAGUAGAUUGGAGUAAGAAUUGGAUUCGGCACUAAAGGACUUCAAGAAGUGGCUUAUUUUAUUAAUUAAAAUCAAAUUAAGAAAUAUAGUUUUAUUAAAAGCUACCUUUAUAAAACAUGUAAUUUAUCCCAUCUAUUUAAAUAAAAUUCGGUGUUUAUAAAACUCUGAUAUUUUCCUAACUCACGGUCCUGAUGAAAUUUCUGCUGCAAUGUUUUUCAAAAGUAAUCACCGGUACCACUGGACUGCUCACGGCUCCCGAUUCCGUCCAGGGUGGGGUCGAGGGUCGUGACAGUUAAGGUGGUAUCAGAGCCACUGCUUUAAGACUAUAAGUGUUGUGAUAAUAAUACUUAAGCUUAAAUAAAAGAGUUAGGAGAUUGCUAUUAACUGGUAGCACAUCUGAUAGCAUUUAGACGGGAAAAUAAGAAAAGAUGCCUUAGUAUAAGCUAAGCCACUUGUCUAAGCAAUUAGGUGUUGUAAUAAUACCUAAGUUUAAACGGAGAAUUAGGAACUUAAUAUUAUCCGAUAGCACUCAGGAUGAUAUUUAGAUUUGAACUUAAGAAUUUUGCCUUAAAAUCAGCUUCAAGAUAAAUUAGUUAUAUAAGUAUAAUGUGAUAAACAUUGGUAUGUCAUAAGAAUGACGAUUAGCAGGUAAUAGCACUUAAUUGUUAUUUAUUCUUGUUUAUCGAUAUUACCUGAUCUAGAAUAAAAUAUGUUAUGGAAAUACAAAUUUCCUUAAUUUUGGAUAAAAACCCUAAUAAAAGAGGCACUUUUAAAAUCUAGAAAAGAUACUAUUAGAGGAAAUUGAAAAUUUUCUCUGGCAAAACUGGGUAUAGAGUAGCAGACUCUCCAGCUUGUCCGGAUAUAGUGAGACUACCUCUCCGGCGCAAACCGGAUAAGACGGGGUACAUAGUAUGUCAAACAAGUGACAAGAUUUCCCUAAAUAAUAUCAUGAUUAGAUAUCUGAUUUGUUUUUUUGGAAAUAUGAAUCUGUUAAGUUAAAUCCAUUGACCUGAUAAAUGGUAUGUUUAUUUCAGCAUAUGAAAUAUGUGAUUAUAUAGAUAGGUAUAUCUAUAAGGAAAUCCAAAAACCAUAAGGAUUGAUAAUUUGAAAUAAAGCACAAGCAUCUGUGUCUAGAUUUCUUUAUCAGAAAUCUCUUUUCCAAUAAUUAUUUUGUUUAAUCAUUUACAUCGUAACUCGUACAAUGAAAACCCUUUAAAGUUGGGAUAUCAUCGAAAGUAUAAGAAUUUCCAAUACGUUACCAUAAACUAUUAACGCAAGUAAAAGGCAUAUAAAGUUGUGCUAAUAUACAAGAAAACACAUGAAACUUAAAUUAUACGUCCACAAAGGUCAAAGUAUAUCACAUACGAUUUCCAAGGCAAGACCUUUGAAAAAUAUAAAUUAGGCACGAUGACACCAACGCUAAUUC
rnacentral:lncRNA from 1 species